AUCGCUAUGCUCACCAAUGGCGUUGAUCCAGGCGGAUUUCAGUAUUUGGUAAAUGCAUGUGGCCGACGUUAUGCAUUGUCUCGUUCCUUUGAAUUAACUUUUCAGUCGGUUAUUCAAAAAUGUUGUGAAGUCAACAUGACUCUUGCAUAUUUUGACACAUUUGAAGAUUUUAAAUGUUUCCUAGCGGCCGAUACUGCUCUAGGCAUAUCUAAAUCGCCAGGUGGGUAUAUCAUAGCCGCGACCAACAUUGACUGUUCCCCUAUGCACGCGUGGUGCCCUGGGAAAAAUCCGGUUGAAAGAUUUCUGUGGAAAAGUCGGCCUUCCUUUGAUCCUCAAACUUAUCGAUGUGUUAAGGUUAUGAAGGACACGAGUGAUUCGACUUUAUUGAAGAUUGAGCUCGAGGAAGCACCUUGCUCAGGAAGCUCAUCAUAUAUUUGCGUGUCAAAGUAAACCACAACCACUGAAAAAUGAAAAAUUGUUUGGAAUUUGAAGUUUUAUGUUCACAACUCGAUUUUCUUGGCUGAUUUCAAGUUUGUAGCUGAUAAAAUAGGAAA